GACGUAGGGGGCGAGCGUUGUCCGGAUUUAUUGGGCGUAAAGCGUGCGUAGGCGGCUGCGCAAGUCGGUUGUGAAACCCCGGGGCUCAACCCCGGAACUGCAUCCGAUACUGCGUGGCUAGAGGUAGGUAGGGGAGAUCGGAAUUCCUGGUGUAGCGGUGAAAUGCGCAGAUAUCAGGAGGAACACCGGUGGCGAAGGCGGAUCUCUGGGCCUUACCUGACGCUCAGGCACGAAAGCUAGGGGAGCGGACAGG
rnacentral:rRNA from 1 species